CAAAACUUUAACUACUUUGAAAUCUUGCCAAAAUAUAACUUUAAACGAAUAACAUAAAGAGGAAUUUUGAUUUCGGGGGUCAUCAAACUGUUUUCAAUCAAAUUAUGAUGAAACUUUGCCAAAACAAACCCCAAAACAAUAAGGAACCCCAAUCCCAAUAGUAGGCCACCAAGAACCGUCAGCCGAACCCCGAUCCCAUAUCACUUUCAAGGUCAUUAGCCAUGCAAUCAAUAUGAGGCGGCCCGAAGGACAAGGCAGUUUAUUUAGUAUAUUUCGUUGCCAAUUUGUUGAGACAACCGGAACAGCACAAGAUAUUACAAACUUUUCUCUCUCUUUGCGGAUAUAAAAGGUUCGCCUCGUUGGCGUCCAAAGGAGCACACGAGAUAUCCGGGACGUCCUUUUUUUCGGGCAUAAUAAAAUGAAAUUACAAGCUGUCGUCGGGACGAAUUUAGCAUGUGAGCCUUGCCUGCUCCUGACACACAUAUUUCAUCUUUAUGGUUUUGUUUUUUUCGACCGCACACAUGAGCAUAUUUUUGAGACAUUUAUGCGACAACCGCACACUCCACUGACAAGUAUGUCCCUGGCAUAUGUUGCCACAUGUACGCUAUUCUUUUGAGCUAAUUAAAUAAGCCAAAGGUAUUAUGCAA
rnacentral:sRNA from 1 species